UCUGGCCUCUGCAGGCGACUCGUCCACAAGGCGGCAAAGCCUGCCUCAGCCUGCAGCCUCAACCCAGCAGGAGCCUUGUGCUACAGAAGAACUGGCAAUGCCCUUGCCUUCUUCUAGGAGCGGGUGAAGCAAAGUUGAACACCAGUGAGAGGUAAGGAGAUAGUUAUUGCCCAGAAUAAACUCAGUUUUCAAAUCUGAAUUCCACAUGUUUGGUAAAUAAGCUGACUGAUGGAGGACUUGAACAACCUGGCAAAGGGAUACUCAGACUAACAGAAAGAAAGGAGAAAGGAAGAGAAGGGCAUACUCAUGUAACAAAGAGGUGAAAUUCAACUAAGUAAAGGAGAAAACAGCUGCAUGAGGUUUUGGAUGAUUGGACUUGCACAGGAGGAGAAUCGUGGAAACUCAAAGAACCUCUGAACUAUCGCCAGAGACUACUCAAGAGCAGCGAGGAAUGAAAGAAGGAAUCUAUCUGUGUUUUAUUUUAUAUGACCCUAUAUAAGUUGUUUUUCUUGUCUUGUAUCAUGGUUUGCAUCACAAUAAGAUAAUAGUGACUUACAUGCAGAA